ensembl:lncRNA
AAACACUGGACAUGGGCCCUGACAUCCAGGAUUGGAGGAGAUUCCAGAAAAAUGAGAGACUUCUCUGACACCUUUAACCAGGGACGGCAUCUUGGAGCAGAAGCUAGACAGGCUGUGUCAAGCAAGGGUCGAGAUGGUCUAGGGAAAAGCAAGCCUGAGAGGCCUUGGCUCCAAAGUGUGGGUUCCCGUUCUUGGCACCUCUCCACCACUCCUAGGCCCUAUGUGGAACAAUCAAAGCCACAGACAGCUUACCCCCAUUAGGUCUCGGCCUCACUGGGACCCAGUCAUCUCCAGAGAACUGGCACCAGCCCCGGGAGAGGACACAGCUGCAGAAGAAGCUUAUGUUACAGGUAAUUUUGGCAAUUAAGACUCAUGUUCAAUUAAAUGGAUUUAUAUCAUGUUACUUGGGAGGCCUAGUCAUCUGGGGCAGGUCCCAAGUGGAAUUAAGCACGGAGAACUCCAAGUUCCAAGCCCAAGCCCUCCCCAGUCUUCCUAUCCAAGAAUACUUUUCCUGCUCCCCGUCUGAGAGCUCGCAGGAAGAGAACUGCCUGACUGUGCAGCCCCUUGUCCCACUUCCCUGAAUUCCUCCUACACAGAGCCUGGCAACCCAGCUACUGGGUGACCUCUCCUUUGCACCUUACAACAAACUUGUGAGGACCCUCCCUGUUUUUCAGAUAUGGAAAUUGAGUCUGGGAAAGCUGGAGACUCUCCUUCAAGGACACUCAUCAGAUAACUUGGAGACUAUGACUCAGAUUAUGACGGAUGAUCUUGAGGUCUCUUUCUUAUACCGGAGAAGUCGCCACUGAAUUCUGUGAAUUACCCCUGAGGAUCACAGCGAGUUUAUUCUCUGGGCUACUAUACAGGAUUUUGCCGAGGGCUUCCUUCCAUGGCCGGCCACCGGCUUUGCACACACGUCUACCGUGGGCCCUACGCCACAGCAGAGCUGGAGGGGCCGCCGACUCUGCAGGAUGCCCGUGGAUCUCAGGCUCCUGCAAACACCGGCAUCUAAGGAGUUAGCUGGGAGGCCGCCCCGGUGGGAGCCUGCAAGGUGGGGAGACCGAAAAGCCAGUCCUUCACCCCGCUGUGCUGUGUCUCUCUCUGCCUUAGGUGGCUCUCAGAGACUGUAUCUGCCUGUGGCACAGGCCCUUGGCAGACAGGAAGCUACGGGCCAGGACGUAGCUUCUACUGGGUGACCCUGGUCCCUGUGCUUGGGAAACACAGCCUGUGGCCUUUAUCGCGCCAGCCCCGGGAGGCUGGGGUGGUAGCUGCUUCCACCCCAUGCCCCCACCCCCGACCCCUGCUCAGCACCUCUCCCCUUCCUCUAGCUGUCAUCAGUCCCCUGCCUUCACUCCCCUCUGUUGAAAACACUGGAGUUUUAUGUGGAAUUCAAGAAACAAAACAGAGGAGCACAGAAGAAGGUGCGGGGAAUGAAACAAGAUGAAUCAGAGAGGGGGACAGACGGUAGGAGACUCUUAAUCAUAGGAAACACACUGAGGGUUGCUGGAGGGGAGGGGGAAGAGGGGAUGGGGUAAGUGGGUGAUGGGCAUCAAGGAGGGCACAUGACGGAAUGAGCGCUGGGUGUUACACGCAACUGAUGAAUCUCUGAAACCAGUAAUUCACUAUAUGCUAAUUAGAAUUUAAAUUAAAAAAAAAAACAGCACUUGACUGGCUGGACCCUAAC